GCCAGUGUAAUCUAGUGGUUUAAGCAUUAGAUUACAACUCUGGAGACGAGGAUUCGAAUCCCCACUGGCC